rnacentral:rRNA from 1 species
AACGAACGCUGACGGCAGGCUUCACACAUGCAAGUCGAGCGCCCCGCAAGGGGAGCGGCAGACGGGUGAGUAACGCGUGGGAAUCUACCCAUCUCUACGGAAUAACGCAUGGAAACGUGUGCUAAUACCGUAUACGUCCUUCGGGAGAAAGAUUUAUCGGAGAUGGAUGAGCCCGCGUUGGAUUAGCUAGUUGGUGGGGUAAAGGCCUACCAAGGCGACGAUCCAUAGCUGGUCUGAGAGGAUGAUCAGCCACAGUGGGACUGAGACACGGCCCAGACUACUACGGGAGGCAGCAGUGGGGAAUAUUGGACAACGGGCGCAAGCCUGAUCCAGCCAUGCCGCGUGAGUGAUGAAGGCCCUAGGGUUGUAAAGCUCUUUCACCGGUGAAGAUAAUGACGGUAACCGGAGAAGAAGCCCCGGCUAACUUCGUGCCAGCAGCCGCAGUAACAC